AUUUAUAUAGUUUAUUAAUAAAACAUUACAUUUUCAUUGUAAAUAAAAAAUAAUUAUUUUUAUAAAUA
rnacentral:tRNA from 1 species